rnacentral:tRNA from 1 species
GGGGCUGUAGCUCAGUUGGGAGAGCGCAUGAAUGGCAUUCAUGAGGUCAGGGGUUCGAUCCCCCUCAGCUCCACCA